rnacentral:rRNA from 1 species
AUUGCCCUACGGGAGGCAGCAGUGAGGAAUAUUGGUCAAUGGACGAGAGUCUGAACCAGCCAAGUAGCGUGAAGGAUGACUGCCCUAUGGGUUGUAAACUUCUUUUAUAAAGGAAUAAAACGAGGCACGCGUGCCUUUUUGCAUGUACUUUAUGAAUAAGGAUCGGCUAACUCCGUGCCAGCAGCCGCGGUAAUACGGAGGAUCCGAGCGUUAUCCGGAUUUAUUGGGUUUAAAGGGUGCGUAGGCGGAAUAUCAAGUCAGCGGUAAAAAUUCGGGGCUCAACCCCGUCGUGCCGUU